UUGCCCGUCCUGGACCUGUGUCCUUGACGUUUGACACGGGGGGUAAAGCAGCUCUCCCAUAAACCUGUGGUAGAGGCUCUGUCCCUCACUGCGGAUCCUGUCGGGAGGAACACGC
ensembl:snoRNA small nucleolar RNA SNORA26